CCAGCACGCUUUGCCAACAGGCUUAGGCCAUAUGUAGUAUCUGUUCUUAAGAAGAAGGGUACUCCUCUUACACGAUCAAGGCUUGACCUUACCCUGAAUUUUCGCAAAUCUGUGUCAUGCUUGGAGCUUGCGUCAAGCCACUGGCAACUGUGUCGCUGGCCUUGCACUGCCGCUGGCUGACGCUAUUCUUU
rnacentral:snRNA from 1 species